AUUGAACGCUGGCGGCAGGCCUAACACAUGCAAGUCGAGCGAGCGGCGGACGGGUGAGUAAUGUCAGGGAAACUGCCUGAUGGAGGGGGAUAACUACUGGAAACGGUAGCUAAUACCGCAUACCAUCAGAUGUGCCCAGAUGGGACUAGCUAGGCGGUGGGGUAAGGGCUCACCUAGGCGACGAUCCCUAGCGGGUCUGAGAGGAUGACCAGCCACGUUGGAACUGAGACACGGGCCAGACGCCGACGGGAGGCAGCAGUGGGGAAUAUUGCACAAUGGGCGCAAGCCUGAUGCAGCCAUGCCGCGGGUGUGAAGAAGGCCUUCGGGUUUUAAAGCACUUUCAGCGGGGAGGCGUUACCCGCAGAAGAAGCACCGGCUAACUCCGUGCCAGCAGCCGCGGUAAUAC
rnacentral:rRNA from 1 species